UUUCCGUAGGUGAACCUGCGGAAGGAUCAUUAAAAAUAAAGCCGGGAAACCGGUCCUUCUAACCCUUGAUUAUCUUAAUUUGUUGCUUUGGUGGGCCGCGCAAGCACCGGCUUCGGCUGGAUCGUGCCCGCCAGAGGACACAACUCUGUAUCAAAUGUCGUCUGAGUACUAUAAAAUAGUUAAAACUUUCAACAACGGAUCUCUUGGUUCUG
rnacentral:misc_RNA from 1 species